GAGUAACACGUGGGUAACCUACCUAUAAGACUGGGAUAACUCCGGGAAACCGGGGCUAAUACCGGAUAAUAUUUUGAACCGCAUGGUUCAAUAGUGAAAGACGGUUUCGGCUGUCACUUAUAGAUGGACCCGCGCCGUAUUAGCUAGUUGGUAAGGUAACGGCUUACCAAGGCGACGAUACGUAGCCGACCUGAGAGGGUGAUCGGCCACACUGGAACUGAGACACGGUCCAGACUCCUACGGGAGGCAGCAGUAGGGAAUCUUCCGCAAUGGGCGAAAGCCUGACGGAGCAACGCCGCGUGAGUGAUGAAGGUCUUCGGAUCGUAAAACUCUGUUGUUAGGGAAGAACAAAUUUGUUAGUAACUGAACAAGUCUUGACGGUACCUAACCAGAAAGCCACGGCUAACUACGUGCCAGCAGCCGCGGUAAUACGUAGGUGGCAAGCGUUAUCCGGAAUUAUUGGGCGUAAAGCGCGCGUAGGCGGUUUCUUAAGUCUGAUGUGAAAGCCCACGGCUCAACCGUGGAGGGUCAUUGGAAACUGGGAAACUUGAGUGCAGAAGAGGAGAGUGGAAUUCCAUGUGUAGCGGUGAAAUGCGCAGAGAUAUGGAGGAACACCAGUGGCGAAGGCGGCUCUCUGGUCUGUAACUGACGCUGAUGUGCGAAAGCGUGGGGAUCAAACAGGAUUAGAUACCCUGGUAGUCCACGCCGUAAACGAUGAGUGCUAAGUGUUAGGGGGUUUCCGCCCCUUAGUGCUGCAGCUAACGCAUUAAGCACUCCGCCUGGGGAGUACGACCGCAAGGUUGAAACUCAAAGGAAUUGACGGGGACCCGCACAAGCGGUGGAGCAUGUGGUUUAAUUCGAAGCAACGCGAAGAACCUUACCAAAUCUUGACAUCCUUUGACCGCUCUAGAGAUAGAGUCUUCCCCUUCGGGGGACAAAGUGACAGGUGGUGCAUGGUUGUCGUCAGCUCGUGUCGUGAGAUGUUGGGUUAAGUCCCGCAACGAGCGCAACCCUUAAGCUUAGUUGCCAUCAUUAAGUUGGGCACUCUAGGUUGACUGCCGGUGACAAACCGGAGGAAGGUGGGGAUGACGUCAAAUCAUCAUGCCCCUUAUGAUUUGGGCUACACACGUGCUACAAUGGAUAAUACAAAGGGCAGCGAAUCCGCGAGGCCAAGCAAAUCCCAUAAAAUUAUUCUCAGUUCGGAUUGUAGUCUGCAACUCGACUACAUGAAGCUGGAAUCGCUAGUAAUCGUAGAUCAGCAUGCUACGGUGAAUACGUUCCCGGGUCUUGUACACACCGCCCGUCACACCACGAGAGUUUGUAACACCCGAAGCCGGUGGAGUAACCUUUUAGGAGCUAGCCGUCGAAGGUGGGACAAAUGAUUGGGGUGAAGUCGUAACAAGGUAGCCGUAUCGGAAGGUGCGGCUG
rnacentral:rRNA from 1 species